rnacentral:rRNA from 1 species
UACGUAGGGUGCAGGCGUUAAUCGGAAUUACUGGGCGUAAAGCGUGCGCAGGCGGUGAUGUAAGACAGAUGUGAAAUCCCCGGGCUCAACCUGGGAACUGCAUUGUGACUGCAUCGCUGGAGUGCGGCAGAGGGGGAUGGAAUUCCGCGUGUAGCAGUGAAAUGCGUAGAUAUGCGGAGGAACACCGGAUGGCGGAAGGCAAAUCCCCCUGGGGCCU